rnacentral:rRNA from 1 species
AUUGAACGCUGGCGGAAUGCUUUACACAUGCAAGUCGAACGGCAGCACGGACUUCGGUCUGGUGGCGAGUGGCGAACGGGUGAGUAAUGUAUCGGAACGUGCCCAGUCGGGGGGGAUAACGUAGUGAAAAUUACGCUAAUACCGCAUACGAUCUAUGGAUGAAAGCGGGGGAUCGCAAGACCUCGCGCGAUUGGAGCGGCCGAUAUCAGAGUAGGUAGUUGGUGGGGUAAAGGCCCACCAAGCCAACGAUCUGUAGCUGGUCUGAGAGGACGACCAGCCACACUGGAACUGAGACACGGUCCAGACUCCGACGGGAGGCAGCAGUGGGGAAUUUUGGACAAUGGGCGAAAGCCUGAUCCAGCCAUUCCGCGUGCAGGAUGAAGGCCCUCGGGUUGUAAACUGCUUUUGUACAGAACGAAAAGGUUUCUACUAAUACUAGGAGCUCAUGACGGUACUGUAAGAAUAAGCACCGGCUAACUACGUGCCAGCCGCCGCCGUAA